UGAUGUUCGCCACGAGAUUAUCGAACAUUUCAUUGCCAAUUGCCCCCUGCUUGAAGAGUUAGCUGUGAAAUGGUCGAGACGCCUAACAAGGCUAAAGGUUGUGGGUUCUUCAUUGAAGCACUUGGAAGUAAUAGAUUGCCUACCUUUGGAAUCGGUGGAGAUUGAUCAUGCCCCUCGCCUCGAGCGGUUGAUACUUGAUGAUAGUUCCUACCAUGUGGAGGAAAUCCAAGUGGGUAAUUUCCCAUCGCUUGUGGAUAUGAGCUUAGGCCACAAUUUCAAUGGUAUGUUUAGAGCACUUUCAGGAUGCGCUAGUCGAUUGGUGUCCCUCUCGUUGAUGUCGUCCG
rnacentral:lncRNA from 1 species